UCAAGCGGUAUGGUAGAGCUACAUGCUGCUUUGAGCGCUAUAAAGGGAGCAAAUGUAUGAAUAUAAACUCCGUAAGUGGCAUAGUAGAUCUAUGAUGUACCUUACUUACUGUUUGAGCGGUUAGAGGGUGGCAAUAAGGUAAAUUGUAACACCUUGAGUUGCAGUAUAGAUCUACAAUAAGAAAUUUUAGCGUCUAAUUUACUUUUUUUCAUAGUCGGCUAAUGCGGUAUGUUUUAUUUUAUAACGUUGCAAUAUGUUAAAUGAAUGAAGAUUUAUCAAACAACCAUAACACAUUUUGUGUUUACGAAAAUAAAUGGCGGAGUUGGGUGUAUUAUUUUAAAUCGUUGUUAGUGGAAGCUGAAGCGGAAUUUUCAUUGCGAAGGUAAGUUUACUGUGAAUAUGUGUAUAUAUUAUUGGCAAAUAAUUGAAGCGCCCACUCUUUGUUGUGUAUUUAUCUAAUAAAAUGUUUUGCUUCACAUGGAGAAAAACAUUUUUUUACUAAAUAUGUAACAAAACUUUGCCUAUUGACUUGUGUCGGGACCCUGGUAUUAGAACGCUAGAAAAAUAAAUAUCUUCAUUGUAUUAAGUUUUCGUUUCGUACGUUUUACGGUUUUUACUUAACUUCAUUAGGUAUCUAAAAAUGGUGGACGACGACGACGACGCCAUUUUAUGUUCGUCACGUGACCAAUUAGAGGUACUAAAGUGGUAACGAACUCAAUAAUUCAACCUUAAGUAAUAUAGAAGCUAUAUUUGACACUACAAGUUCUAUAAUAGGGAGAAAUAUCGCUACUAUUCAGCCCUAAAUCAUACAAGGGAGUUUUGUAUCACUUUAGGAGUUUGGUGUUGUAAAAGAUUUAAUGAACACCAUUGUAGAGCUAGUAGCGUUAAAUGCUCCUUUUGUGCAACUAUCAGCGCCCCGAAAGAGUUUGUGGUAGCUUGCUUAGAACUUUAGAAGUUAAUAGUAAAUGUUAAUUUCUUAUAUAGAUCUUAUAGUCGUAAAAUUCGCUCAAAGCUAUAACACAGAAGCUUUGGUCUGUAUUGUAGGGAUAAUAAUCGCUGCUCUACGCGUUUAACCUCCAUAUAUUGCUCUUAUAAACCUGCUUUGUUACUAUAAGCGUUAUAUUUUAUUACUAACACUCUUUUGGCGCCUGAAUCUAUAAUUGCAGCUACUAUUCUACCUUCAUAACACUUUAGGUUCUAAAGUAAGCUCUAUUUGCAGCCAUAAUGUUUGUUGGUGUGUAUGUCACUGAACUUCUCUUAAACGAGUGGACCGAUUUUGAUGAACUUUUUUGUGUGUGUUCAAGGGGAUCUGAGAAUGGUUUAAAUUCACAAUUUUGUCCGCUGGACAAUGUUUUUUUAAUUAGUUUUUAAUUUAUUAGUAGUUGUUGAUUUUGGAAUGUUUUACAUUGGAUCCGACAGACGGCGCUACCAUCGCAGUGUCAAAUAUUAAUGACGUUAAAUAUUGUCAUAACAUUUGUAUAAGAAUUUUCAUCAAAAAGGUCCAGAAUGUUUUAGCUUAUUAAAAAAAGUUUAAAAUUUUCAAAUUAAAGACGUGUAGACAGGACAACGUCUGUCGGGUCCGCUAGUAAACAUAUAAA